rnacentral:rRNA from 1 species
UACGGAGGAUGCAAGCGUUAUCCGGAUUUAUUGGGCGUAAAGAGCUCGUAGGCGGUUUGUCGCGUCUGCUGUGAAAACUCGAGGCUCAACCUCGAGCUUGCAGUGGGUACGGGCAGACUAGAGUGCGGUAGGGGUGACUGGAAUUCCUGGUGUAGCGGUGGAAUGCGCAGAUAUCAGGAGGAACACCCGUGGCGAAGGCGGCUCUCUAGGACGGUACUGACGCUGAGACGCGAAAGCGUGGGGAGCGAACAGG